CACACGACCGUACCGCAAACCGACACUGGUGCGCGAGAUGAGUAUUCUAAGGCGCUUGAGAGAACUCAGGAGAAGGAACUCGGCAAAUUGACACCGUAACUUCGGAAGAAGGUGUGCCUUUAGUAGGUGAACCAUUUACUUGGGGAGCCCAAUGAGGCUGCAAAAAAUCGGUGGCUGCAACUGUUUAUUAAAAACACAGCACUCUGCUAAGACGAAAGUCGACGUAUAGGGUGUGACGCCUGCCCGGUGCUAAGAUUAAAUGAUGGGGUGCAAGCUCUUGAUUGAAGUCCCAGUAAACGGCGGCCGUAACAAUAACGGUCCUAAGGUAGCGAAAUUCCUUGUCGGGUAAGUUCCGACCUGCACGAAUGGCGUAAUGAUGGCCACACUGUCUCCUCCUGAGACUCAGCGAAGUUGAAAUGUUUGUGAUGAUGCAAUCUCCCCGCGGAAAGACGGGAAGACCCCAUGAACCUUUACUGUAGCUUUGUAUUGGACUUUGAACAGAUCUGUGUAGGAUAGGUGGGAGGCUUUGAAGUGUGGUCGCUAGAUCGCAUGGAGCCAACGUUGAAAUACCACCCUGGUGUGUUUGAGGUUCUAACCUAGGUCCAUUAUCUGGAUCGGGGACAGUGCAUGGUAGGCAGUUUGACUGGGGCGGUCUCCUCCCAAAGUGUAACGGAGGACUUCGAAGGUACGCUAGGUACGGUCGGAUAUCGUGCUAAUAGUGCAAUGGCAUAAGCGUGCUUAACUGCGAGACUGACAAGUCGAGCAGAUGCGAAAGCAGGACAUAGUGAUCCGGUGGUUCUGUAUGGAAGGGCCAUCGCUCAACGGAUAAAAGGUACUCUGGGGAUAACAGGCUGAUACCGCCCAAGAGUUCAUAUCGACGGCGGUGUUUGGCACCUCGAUGUCGGCUCAUCUCAUCCUGGGGCUGUAGCCGGUCCCAAGGGUAUGGCUGUUCGCCAUUUAAAGAGGUACGUGAGCUGGGUUUAAAACGUCGUGAGACAGUUUGGUCCCUAUCUUCCGUGGGCGCUGCAGAUUUGAGGAAGCCUGCUCCUAGUACGAGAGGACCGGAGUGGACGAACCUCUGGUGUAUCGGUUGUCACGCCAGUGGCAUUGCCGAGUAGCUAAGUUCGGAAGAGAUAACCGCUGAAAGCAUCUAAGCGGGAAACUCGUUUCAAGAUUAGAUCUGCCGGGGCCUUGAGCCCCCUAAAGAGUCGUUCAAGACCAGGACGUUGAUAGGUCAGGUGUGGAAGU
rnacentral:rRNA from 1 species